AAGAACCUUACCUGGNCUUGACAUCCUGGGAAUCCUGUAGAGAUAUGGGAGUGCCGCUAAGGAACCCAGAGACNGGUGCUGCAUGGCUGUCGUCAGCUCGUGUCGUGAGAUGUUGGGUUAAGUCCCGUAACUUGCNCAUUCCCUUGUCCUUAGUUGCCAUCAUUAAGUUGGGCACUCUAAGGAGACCGCCGGUGACAAACCGGAGGAAGGUGGGGAUGACGUCAAGUCUUCAUGGCACUUUAUGACCUGGGCUACUCACGUGCUACAAUGGUGGAUACAGAGGGAAGCCUACGCGCGAGCGGGAGCUAAUCCCAGAAUAUCCAUCGUAGUCCCGGAUUGUAGUCUGUAACUCGACUCUAUGAUGUCNGAAUCGCUAGUAAUCAUCGAUCAACAUUGCUGCNGAGAAUACGUUCCCGGGUCUUGUNCACACCUCCCGUCACACCAUG
rnacentral:rRNA from 1 species